AAAGGAUGCAAUGAAGGUGAUGGUUCUUCUU
rnacentral:piRNA from 1 species